rnacentral:rRNA from 1 species
UACGUAGGGGGCAAGCGUUGUCCGGAAUCAUUGGGCGUAAAGAGCGUGUAGGCGGCUUGGUAAGUCCGCUGUGAAAGUCCAGGGCUCAACCCUGGAAUGCCGGUGGAAACUGUCAAGCUUGAGUCCGGAAGAGGCGAGUGGAAUUCCUGGUGUAGCGGUGAAAUGCGCAGAUAUCAGGAGGAACACCGGCGGUGUAGACGGCUUACUGGACCGUGACUGACGCUGAGGCACGAAAGCGUGGGGAGCGAACAGG